UAUUUUUAAGCCAGAUUUUGAAGAGUAUAAGAGACAGUAGAAUAGAGAGUAAAACUGGUUGUUCGUGUAUAUUUUGUGUCUGCUCUAUUGGUAUCAAGAAGCCAGCCUACUAGAAUCAGUAGUAUUUAGCUCAAGGAAAGCUUCAAGACCUUUCAUGAAUCAUUUAAUCUCUUUGUACUUUACUGCUUUUUCCUUAAAUAAAAUUGAAGGAAAUAAUCCGUGUCCUGUUCUAACCCAAAAUGAGGAUGAAUGUUCUGUUGAAUUAGCUUGUCUCUUGGCUCCUUGUUUUGCUAACAUCAUGACCAGUUCCUUUUAUUGCUAUAUGUCUGUAUCUUUCAGCCACAAGUAUAUGGUUACGAUGACUUGCAGAUGCUUCAGACAAGAUUUCCAUUGGAUUACUACAGCAUCCCAUUUCCCACACCCACUACUCCGCUGACUGGGAGGGAUGGUAGCCUGGCCAGCAACCCUUAUUCUGGUGACCUCACAAAGUUCGGCCGUGGGGAUGCCUCCUCCCCAGCCCCGGCCACAACCUUGGCCCAACCCCAACAGAACCAGACGCAGACUCACCAUACCACGCAGCAGACAUUCCUGAACCCGGCGCUGC
rnacentral:sRNA from 1 species